ensembl:lncRNA
CUUAAUGCCACUGAAAGUCAUACAACCUAGUUUCAUGAAGUUUGCUCUCAAGAUGGUUUGUUUAUAUGAAAGAGGGGUUCCUUCCUAUUCAGAACAAAUGAAAACCUUCAGCAGAGAAACUGUGAGGGAACCUAGGCUCAGGAAAGUUGGUCAUGUAUUUGUGAGGAGCAGAGUCAACAUUCAGCCAGUUACCAAGACAGAAACCUUGGAUUUGAAUCAGAGCAGCCUGGCCGAAGACUCUGGAUGACUAUAGUGGGUAAACCAGUCUGGAAGUUGAGAACAGCAAGUGUGACAUUAGUGUGAGUGUGAG